rnacentral:rRNA from 1 species
GGGUGAGUAUAAUGUGGGAAUCUGCCUUUUGGUUUGGAAUAACACGGGGAAACUUGUGCUAAUACCGAAUAAGCCCUUACGGGGAAAGUUUUAAUGCCAAAAGAUGAGCCCGCACUUGAUUAGCUAGUUGGUAAGGUAAAAGCUUACCAAGGCAAUGAUCAAUAGCUGUUCUUAGAGGAAGACCAGCCACAUUGGGACUGAGACACGGCCCAGACUCCUACGGGAGGCAGCAGUGGGGAAUCUUGCACAAUGGGGGAAACCCUGAUGCAGCGAUGCCGCGUGAGUGAAGAAGGCCUUUGGGUUGUAAAACUCUUUCGUCGGGGAAGAAAAUGACUGUACCCGAAUAAGAAGGUCCGGCUAACUUCGUGCCAGCAGCCGCGGUAAUACGAAGGGACCUAGCGUAGUUCGGAAUUACUGGGCUUAAAGAGCUCGUAGGUGGUUAAAAAAGUUGAUGGUGAAAUCCCAAGGCUCAACCUUGGAACUGCCAUCAAAACUUUUUAGCUAGAGUGUGAUAGAGGUAAGUGGAAUUUCUAGUGUAGAGGUGAAAUUCG